rnacentral:misc_RNA from 1 species
UGAAAUGUCAAAUACUCUACAUCUCAUCUGACCUAGACAAGAGUAGACAAAGAAUAUCUUUGUCUGUUUUUGUAAUUUUUGAUUGCAGGUAAUAAUUAUUUAAUAUCUAAAAAGUAUGUCGGGAUCUUACCGUCGUCAUAUGAUCAGUUUUUAUGCUGAUAAAAAUGAGCGUAAAGCAGAGAGAAACGCUGUACGAGCGUUAAGCGGGGCUCUCGACCUUCCGGACAACGAGUUUCUUCAAAAUUAUAAAAUUUCCAAGGAGAUGGUGCAGUAUUUGUGCCAGGAAUUGGCUGAGGAUCUGUCUCCUAGGACAUCUCAGGGUCUGCCUGUUUUGAUCAAAGUUCUUUGUUCGCUUAAGGUCCUGCUUACAGGACAUUACCAACGAGGGACGGGUAACGAGAACGAUGUAUCGAUUGGCCAAACCACCGUCAGCAAAUUUUUAAAACAAUUUGUUGUUGCAGUAAAUACAAGAUUGAAACCACAGUGGAUAGUGUUCCCAAACACAGAGGCAGGAAGGCAGACGGUAGCAUCUGGCUAUCUUACAAAGUUUGGCCUUCCUGAUGUAUUGGGAGCCGUUGACUGCACCCAUGUGCAGCUGUUUCCACCUCCAAAGCCACAUCAAGCGCAGUUCAGAAAUAGACAUGGCAUAACAUCCAUUAAUGUUCAGUUGAUUGCAGAUGCAGACUGCAGAAUAAUAAAUGUGAAUGCAAAUUUUCCUGGAAGAGUGCAUGAUCAAUUUAUAUUCAACAGUUCUGUCAUUAAGACAGAACUGCGCAGGCUACAUGAGUGUAGAAUUGGACAGUAUUAUCUACUUGGGGAUUCUGGUUAUGCAUUAGAGCCUUGGCUCAUGACGCCAAUUCUUAAUGCUGGGCAUGGCACGCCAGAAGAGAGAUACACCAAGUGGCACUGCCGAACCCGCAAUGUCAUAGAACGUACCAAUGGGUAUCUAAAGGGUACUUUUAGAUGCCUAGGAAUAGAUAGGAGCCUACAUUAUGAACCUGAGAAGGCAUCUGCACUUGUCUACGCUUGCUGCACAUUAUACAACAUAAUGCGUCAUUAUCGGUUGCCUAUGCAGGAAACAAUUAUUACACAAGAACAGACGGACCAUACUAAUUACCCUAGUGGCAGCUUAUUACAAGCUGCAACUUGCAGGAGGGAUAAUAUUAUAAGAACUCAUUUUUAAUUAUUUUUUUUGCUUUUAACGGUUCUUCAAACCAUACAGACAGAAUUGUGUUGCUGGGGAGUUUGUUCCACCAUUUCUUCUCCCCAGCAAAAACACAUAGGAAGUGGUGAAGGGCGGGCGUUUUGGGGGCUGUCUUUUGUAAAUUUUACUUUAAAAAAUGCUUUUUUUCAGCCACUUUUAACUUCUAAAAUAUAUAUAAUUAGUUAUAACUUCAAUUUCAGAUGCAGACUGCAAAAUAUAAUGUUAAUGCAAAUUAUCCAGAGUGCAUGAUCAAUUUAAGACAGAACUGCGCAGGCUACAUGAGUCUAGAAUUGGACAGUAUUAUCUGCUAGGGGAUUCUGGUUAUGCAUUAGAGCCUUGGCUCAUGACGCCAACUCUUAAUGCUGGGCAUGGCACGCCAGAAGAGAGGCAUCUGCACUUGUCUAUGCCUGCUGCACAUUAUACAACAUGCGUCAUUAUCG